AGUUAAAGUGUCAAAGAUGCUUGCAAGGUUGCUUCUAAUGAGAAAUGAAGAUAAACAUUUCAAGGUUUUUUCUGAAGUACACUAGAAAUUUCCAGUGAGUGAGUUGAAGAAAAGUCAGAAAGUACAAUGUUGAUUCCAACAGCCUGGAUUUUAAAUGAAGGCUCUGGUCCAAGAAGCAAAUGGAGACCCAGGAGAUAUAUCACAGAGGUUGCUUGAGGUGAGAGCUGAAUAAGGUAAAUAGCAGAUGUAGUGUUCAGUAUUUGGUUGAAACAAACACUGGAUGCCUGGGACAAAAACCAGGGAAGUGUAUUUUUCUUUGAGCGUUAUUGUGAGUUGCACCCCCAGUGUUAACCUAAUCUUUGCUACUGCAGUUUCUGUUUUAAGAACUGUCUAGCUGAAGUUUUAGUGUGUCCCCUACUCCUUUUCAGAUGAAUGUUUAUUGACUCAUUACAGGAAUUUUACGAGUAAAAGCAAUGUUUGGGAUUAUUCACUA